GGUGGUGUGGCCGAGUGGUUAGGCAGCAGACUGCAAAUCUGUGUACGGGGAUUCGAUUUCCUCCACCACCUCCA
rnacentral:tRNA from 2 species